AAGGUAGCAUAAUCAUUAGCCCCUUAAUUAGGGGCUUGUAUGAACGGUGAAACAUUUCACUUACUUUAUUGGUUAAUCUUUUUUAAUUUAAAUAAAGAAUAAAAAUGUUCUUAUUAUUUUAAUAGACGAUAAGACCCUUUUGAACUUUACUUUAGUUUAGCUGGGGCAGCUAAAAAAUAAUAAUCUUUCCUACCCUCUUUACUUAAACGACCCAAUAAAAUUGAGUCUCUGAACAAGUUACCAUAGGGAUAACAGCGUAAUAUCUUUUUAAAGCUCUUAUUUAAAAAGAAGAUUGCGACCUCGAUGUUGAAUUAGUGUGACCUUAUUGGUGCAAU
rnacentral:rRNA from 1 species